GGGGACGUAAAGGUUUCGACGGGGGUGUGGAAACCGGAUAAGCGAGCCGCAGUUUGCUCAGUCUGCGUUAAAAAGGGCACGUUAAAUAUAAACGCUAAAAAUAACAAUUCAUUCGCAUUAGCAGCAUAGUUCUGCACCGCGUGUCAGCCCUUAUUUACCUGUAGGUAAGGAAUCUGGCAUCGAUUAUACAGGAAAACUCUGCAGGUGAUCCUGGCCCUGCAGGGGAAUUACAGGAUAGCUGACUCCUGGGUCUGCUGAUAGACACUUGAGGAGGCGAAUUGCAAAUUAUCAGCUGCGCUCGGAGAAAUUCUGGCGGAAAGGCUUUCGGACGCGGGUUCGACUCCCGCCGUUUCCACCA
rnacentral:tmRNA from 1 species